UACGAAGGGGGCUAGCGUUGCUCGGAAUCACUGGGCGUAAAGCGCACGUAGGCGGCUUCUUAAGUCAGGGGUGAAAUCCUGGAGCUCAACUCCAGAACUGCCUUUGAUACUGAGAGCUUGAGUCCGGGAGAGGUGAGUGGAACUGCGAGUGUAGAGGUGAAUUCGUAGAUAUUCGCAAGAACACCAGUGGCGAAGGCGGCUCACUGGCCCGGUACUGGAGCGCAUGAGGUGGGCGAAAGCGGAUGGGAGACCGAACGA
rnacentral:rRNA from 1 species